rnacentral:rRNA from 1 species
AUGCAGACCUCACUUCGCAUGCUGAAUUCUUCAUCGACAACGUCAAAGAGACAUGGAACCGUCACUACGAACACUCAAAGGUCUAGAUCAGUCAUUUCCCGAUUGAGUACGUGGCGACCACGAAUCAAGGGAACACGACGGACUGUGGCUUUCACACGUUGGAAUACUAUGCAAAGUGGGAAGGUAGACUUGUCCCCGCUGUCACAGCUGCAACGGUCGUUGAGCUCCGGAAAAUCUACACAUGGAACUGGUUGA